rnacentral:rRNA from 1 species
UAGGGAAUCUUCCGCAAUGGACGCAAGUCUGACGGAGCAACGCUGCGUGAGUGAAGAAGGAUUUCGGUUCGUAAAACUCUGUUGUUAGAGAAGAACAGCGCAUAGAGUAACUGUUAUGCGUGUGACGGUAUCUAACCAGAAAGCCACGGCUAACUACGUGCCAGCAGCCGCGGUAAUACGUAGGUGGCAAGCGUGGUCCGGAUUUAUUGGGCGUAAAGCGAGCGCAGGCGGUCAAUUAAGUCUGAUGUGAAAGCCCCCGGCUCAACCGGGGAGGGUCAUUGGAAACUGGUUGACUUGAGUGCAGAAGAGGAGAGUGGAAUUCCAUGUGUAGCGGUGAAAUGCGUAGAUAUAUGGAGGAACACCAGUGGCGAAGGCGACUCUCUGGUCUGUAACUGACGCUGAGGCUCGAAAGCGUGGGUAGCAAACAGG